CUAGAUCUUUGGAUAAAGGAGUACCACAACAAAUCAAGAUCAAGCUGCCUAACCGCAAGAUACAGAAUCACUGGGAAAGCAAUGAAGUGUAUUCUCUGGAAAGAAAUGUUCAGACGUUGUUCAUCACUCUCCAGCUGGGUGGUGUC